rfam:Aedes albopictus isolate Foshan contig125750, whole genome shotgun sequence.
UGUUCUGUGGCAUAGUUGGUUAAAGCGCCGGUCUAGCGAAUAUGAAGUCGUGGGUUCGAAUUCCACCAGAACGC